UCAGACAUGGUGUAGUGGUGACACGGCCUCUCAAUGUACGGUUGAAUGCCAAAAGUUGUCAGGUAGUCCCGGGUUCGAAUCCCGGUGUCUGAA